rnacentral:rRNA from 1 species
UCGCCUACAUGAAGCUGGAGUUACUAGUAAUCGCAGAUCAGAAUGCUGCGGUGAAUGCGUUCCCGGGUCUUGUACACACCGCCCGUCACACCACGGGAGUUGGAGACGCCCGAAGCCGAUUAUCUAACCUUUUGGAAGAAGUCGUCGAAGGUGGAAUCAAUAACUGGGGUGAAGUCGUAACAAGGUAGCCGUAUCGGAAGGUGCGGCUGGAUCACCUCCUUUCUAAGGAGA